rnacentral:lncRNA from 1 species
AAAAAAAAAAAAAAAUUCACGAGUAGACGAGUUUGAGGAGUCGAUUCUGGUUGCUGUUAAGACUGUGUAUACGUAACACAUUAGAAUUUGCGGCUGAUCUUACACAUUUAUGAAUCAGGGCAUUUUUCUGGAGUUGAUUGUUUUGUUUCCUAGCAAAGAUGAAAAUUGAGAGUUCUGGAAGAGAUUCAGAACAAAGUGCAUGAUGGCCAUUUAGUUUAGGUCUAGAGUAGAGUAGAAUAAUUGUGGGUAGCCUCUUAUGUGUGUUAAAUCAGUUUAUAUAUGUACGUGUUAUAUUUUGCUGAGAGACUGGGAAGUAGUGUUACAUUGAUUUUCUUUUUUCUUUUUCUUUUGUAUUUUGCUCUAUUCUUUCUAAUAAUAGUUCUUCUUCUAUCUCCCAAAAAAAAGUUACAGUACCUCUUGGGUUGAAUCAUAUUUGGGUUCCUCUUGUGUAAUUGAUGAUUAGCCACAUGGAUGGUUCUGACUCUGUUAAAAAAUUGGAACUUCCACUCUAGAUAAUAUGUCCUAAUAUCUUUAUGUGUCAAUUGCAUGUGGUUUUAUUUGGCAUCUUGUUUCAUGAAUAUGAUUGAUAAUGACUUGCUUGAUCAUAUUGUUUUCUUAAAAUCAUUAUGCUUUUCAACUUUUCUUUUUCCUCUUCUCUUUUGUGAUUGUUUAGAAUACAUAAGCUGGGGUCAAAUGGAGUGGUUUGGUCAGAGGAGACCUUCAUUUCAUUUGAUAGAAUAGUAAUUUUUCCACUUUGCUUUCGUUUUUUGUUUUUGAGAUAAUUUCAAGGGUGGUGGCAGUUAGGCAUGCAAGGCCAUAGGUCUUAAUAGGUUAGACCUUUAGAAAGGGGCUUUGGCAUACCCCAAGUCGCCUUCACCGGUACCCUGACUUGCUCUCCCACCCCCCUUUAUCUGAUCUGUACACAAGGAGCACAUGCAAGCACCGCACUGCCAUCCAGGGAUAUGGCAGUAUUUAUAGCUCCAUCAAGUUAGCAUUCCAACCCUUGAGGAGUACAUCGUAUUGGGUAGGGCCAGGUCCCAAUACAAAACUUUUAGAACGGAGCAAAAGAAACUUUUUCAUUUUGCUUUCACUUUUAUUUUCUAUGUGCUUAAGUUUCCCUUCCCAGUUGUUUGUGAUCCUUAAUUUUGCCAUUGCAUGUUUUUUUUUGUUCUUUUGAUCUCAUAUGUUAUUACGAAGAUCCUCAACCCCCCUGAGAUGUACGGACCAAAAUUUUGAACUAUUUUGUGGUGCAGGUUUAGUUGGGUUCAUCUUGAGGCAAGUUGGUAGAGUAGGAUUCUAAAAAUUGUGAGAGAAAAAAGUAAGAAGACAGAUAGUGAAAACUUUUAUAUUCCAACAAACUUUAUUUGGAAUAAUUGAGAUUAGUUAUAGGUAAAACAUAAGAGGUCGGUGUCCAAUUGAAAGGCAAGAAUCCA